rnacentral:rRNA from 1 species
CGACCGGCGCACGGGUGAGUAACACGUAUGCAAUCCACCUGUAACAGGGGGAUAACCCGGAGAAAUCCGGACUAAUACCCCAUAAUAUGGGCUCUCCGCAUGGAGGGUCCAUUAAGGAGAGCAAUUUUGGUUACAGACGAGCAUGCGCUCCAUUAGCCAGUUGGCGGGGUAACGGCCCACCAAAGCGACGAUGGAUAGGGGUUCUGAGAGGAAGGUCCCCCACAUUGGAACUGAGACACGGUCCAA